AUUGAACGCUGGCGGCAGGCCUAACACAUGCAAGUCGAACGGUAACAGGAAGCAGCUUGCUGCUUUGCUGACGAGUGGCGGACGGGUGAGUAAUGUCUGGGAAACUGCCUGAUGGAGGGGGAUAACUACUGGAAACGGUAGCUAAUACCGCAUAACGUCGCAAGACCAAAGAGGGGGACCUUAGGGCCUCUUGCCAUCGGAUGUGCCCAGAUGGGAUUAGCUAGUAGGUGGGGUAACGGCUCACCUAGGCGACGAUCCCUAGCUGGUCUGAGAGGAUGACCAGCCACACUGGAACUGAGACACGGUCCAGACUCCUACGGGAGGCAGCAGUGGGGAAUAUUGCACAAUGGGCGCAAGCCUGAUGCAGCCAUGCCGCGUGUAUGAAGAAGGCCUUCGGGUUGUAAAGUACCUUCAGCGGGGAGGAAGGGAGUAAAGUUAAUACCUUUGCUCAUUGACGUUACCCGCAGAAGAAGCACCGGCUAACUCUGUG
rnacentral:rRNA from 1 species